rnacentral:tRNA from 2 species
GUCAGGAUGGCCGAGCGGUAUAAGGCGCUGCGUUCAGGUCGCAGUCUCCCCUGGAGGCGUGGGUUUGAAUCCCACUUCUGACA